UUAGCCCUAAACACAAAUAAUUAUAAAAACAAAAUUAUUCGCCAGAGUACUACCGGCAACAGCCUAAAACUCAAAGGACUUGGCGGUGCUUUAUACCCUUCUAGAGGAGCCUGUUCUAUAAUCGAUAAACCCCGAUAAACCUCACCAAUUCUUGCUAAUUCAGUCUAUAUACCGCCAUCUUCAGCAAACCCUAAAAAGGAAUAAAAGUAAGCAUAAUCACAACACAUAAAAACGUUAGGUCAAGGUGUAACCUAUGAAAUGGGAAGAAAUGGGCUACAUUUUCUACCACAAGAAAAUCACACGAAAGUUAUUAUGAAACUAAUAACCAAAGGAGGAUUUAGUAGUAAACUAAGAAUAGA
rnacentral:rRNA from 1 species